GCAAGAUUAAAACUCAAAGGAAUAGACGGGGACCCGCACAAGCGGUGGAGCAUGUGGUUUAAUUCGACGAUACGCGAAGAACCUUACCUGGCCUUGACAUAGAUAGAAUAUAGCAGAGAUGUAAUAGUGCCAGUUUUCUGGAACUAUCAUACAGGUGCUGCACGGCUGUCGUCAGCUCGUGUCGUGAGAUGUUGGGUUAAGUCCCGCAACGAGCGCAACCCACGUCGUUAGUUACUAACAGUUCGGCUGAGGACUCUAACGAGACUGCCUGGGUAACCAGGAGGAAGGUGUGGACGACGUCAAGUCAUCAUGGCCCUUACGGCCAGGGCUACACACGUGCUACAAUGGGGUAUACAGAGAGCCGCGAUACCGUGAGGUGGAGCAAAUCUUCAAAAUAUCUCCCAGUUCGGAUAGCACUCUGCAACUCGAGUGCUUGAAGUUGGAAUCGCUAGUAAUCGUGGUUCAGCAAUGUCACGGUGAAUACGUUCCCGGGUCUUGUACUCACCGCCC
rnacentral:rRNA from 1 species